AAUGAACGCUGGCGGCAGGCCUAACACAUGCAAGUCGAGCGAGCGGCGGGCGGGUGAGUAAUGUAUGGGGACUGCCCGAUAGAGGGGGAUAACUACUGGAAACGGUAGAUAAUAACGCAUACUAUCGGAUAAGCCAGAGGGGAUGUGCUAGUAGGUUGGGUAAUGGCUCACCUAGGCGACGAUCCCUAGCUGGUCUGAGAGGAUGAUCAGCCACACCGGGACUGAGACACGGCCCAGAGUCCUACGGAGGAAGAAGUGGGGAAGAUUGUAAAAUGGGCGAAAGCGUGAUGCAGCCAUGCCGCGUGGAUGAAGAAGGCCUUAGGGUUGUAAAGUACUUUCAGUCUGGAGGCGUUACCUACAGAAGAAGCACCGGCUAACUCCGUGCCAGCAGCCGCGGUAAUUC
rnacentral:rRNA from 1 species